GAUGAAGAACGUAGCGAAAUGCGAUAAGUAAUGUGAAUUGCAGAAUUCAGUGAAUCAUCGAGUCUUUGAACGCACAUUGCGCCCCCUGGUAUUCCGGGGGGCAUGCCUGUCCGAGCGUCAUUGCCGCCCUCAAGCACGGCUUGCGUGUUGGGCCCCCGCCCCCCGGCUUCGGGGGGCGGGCCCGAAAGGCAGCGGCGGCACCGCGUCCGGUCCUCGAGCGUAUGGGGCUUCGUCACCCGCUCUGUAGGCCCGGCCGGCGCCCGCCGGCGACCCCAAUCAAUCUUUCCAGGUUGACCUCGGAUCAGGUAGGGAUACCCGCUGAACUUAAGCAUAUCAAUAAGCGGAGGA
rnacentral:misc_RNA from 1 species